rnacentral:rRNA from 1 species
UACGAAGGACCCAAGCGUUAUCCGGAUUUAUUGGGUUUAAAGGGUGCGUAGGCGGAUUAUUAAGUCAGUGGUGAAAGCCUGCAGCUUAACUGCAGAACUGCCAUUGAUACUGAUGAUCUUGAGUAUGAUUGAGGUGGGCGGAAUGAGUCAUGUAGCGGUGAAAUGCUUAGAUAUGACACAGAACACCGAUUGCGAAGGCAGCUCACUAAGCCAUAACUGACGCUGAGGAGCGAAAGCGUGGGGAGCAAACAGG